rnacentral:rRNA from 1 species
UACAGAGGGUGCAAGCGUUGUUCGGAAUUACUGGGCGUAAAGCGGGUGCAGGCGGCUUGCCAAGUCAGAUGUGAAAGCCCCGGGCUCAACCCGGGAACUGCGUUUGAAACUGGCAGGCUAGAGUUUGGCAGAGGGGGGUGGAAUUCCACGUGUAGCAGUGAAAUGCGUAGAGAUGUGGAGGAACACCGAUGGCGAAGGCAGCCCCCUGGGCCAAAACUGACGCUCAGGCACGAAAGCGUGGGGAGCAAACAGG